CAGAAUAAUCAUUUUCUUGUUGACUCUGCGACCUGCUGACAUCUCGUUUCUGCAGAUCCAAUUUGUUGCUUGUUCACGAGCUGAAACAGCCGCUCAUAGGAGAUCCUGUUCAGCUCAGGAUGUGUAAACGUCUGACAGUAAACCCCCUGAGGAGAACAUGAGAUGGGAGCUAAUUUUCCUCAUCUUCAUCUGUGGUCUCUGUGAGAUGUGUGUCAUGAACAGCUCAAAGGUCUACACAGCCAAAGAAAACGAGAACAUCGCCAUCGAAUGGAGCACUCAGAUGAAAACUGACUGGACUCUCAUCGACAUAAUCUGUGAAUUUUACUCUGACAAUGUUAAGAUUUUAUACAAAACAAAGAGGGGUUCCUCUGAGUCUCCAGAUGAGCAGUUUGUAGGACGGGUUCAUUUGGACAUAGACGCUCCCAGAGAAGCAAAGAUCCGACUCCAUCUGUCCAGACUCAAAACAGAAGACUCUGGGUAUUACUGCUGCUUCAUGAAUGCUAAUUAUGACAUCGUCGCUGAGCGGUGGAGACUUCAA